rnacentral:lncRNA from 1 species
CCUCAACUGAAAAUGUUUCAGCUGUGUGUGCAGGCGUCUUCAUGCUAUAGAAGAAGGAAUGGAACUGUGAAUGGUGGGAAAGGCUGAAGGAAGUAAUGGAGACCACGAUGCAGAAGUAGGUGCUCUUGCAAAGCAGUCCCGGGACAGAUAAAGGAAGCAAAGGCAGAGAACCCCAACGCCUUGUAAAAACCAGCAAGAAACUGAGCUCGGCUCCCUGGCUCACAUAGACAUGGAACAGAGAUCACAUCUGUGAGUGGAGGAGCCAGACUUUUCAUAUAAGCACAUGUAAAACUUUUGAAGUUGGCUGAUCCAAGAAUAGAUUCAAAUUCUUCAGCCAAGAGUCUAGACCAACUGACUUUUUCCACUUCAUUGCCUAGUUGACCCUUUGGGCCCGGAGCUCACGCACGCAGUUGAAGAUGUCCACCACCCCUUCAUUCUCGGCCAUGUCAAGCAUGGUGUCAAUGGCAAUGAAGCAGCCAGUCCGCCCAGCCCCAGCACUGGAAGAGAGCAAAUGGGUUGACGGAUGGAAGCAAAGAAGGAGAGGAGAGAGAACAGAGGGGAGAUGAAUGACAGGACAGAAACGAGAGUCCUCUGAGCUGUCCCCAAGACAGAGAGUGGUUGGUGGAGCACCACGUUCAAAGGCCGGCAUCUGGCUCCACCUGCAGCUGUUUUCGCAGGAUCGUGAAGCAAGAGUGUCAUGAAACUGGAGCAGCUGACCGUCCGGAGACCCUUGUCAGGGAUCAAGUUUCUUGAUACAUACUUACUUGAUUUCUGGUCACUAGUGGCUUCUUUAGGAGAAUCUCAGACCAAGUAUAAAAUGGUAGGGGAACUCAACGAGACUCUAUGGGCCUUGGCCAGCCCUUUCUAGAUCAGUGCUGGGCUCUGAAACAUCAGUGCUGACCAAGAGGCACGUAAGACAUGUGCCUUACACAUGUGCAGUUUUGGAUGGGAAGGCCGGGCAGCCUGUCAAGGAGGCCCCCUUCCGCUGCGUUUUCACAUCUUGCCUUUCUCAUGGAAACAAGUGUCUUUGUCUAACAAUGUAGAUGUCAAAAGACACACAAAGAGGAAGAGAGAUGGAACAAGACAAAAAAGCAAUAUUGGCUCAUGGUAAAUCCAAGGGGCACAGGCCAGUGCGGACCACUACCUACAACAAUUUGGAAAGUACACCCAUUGGAAGCAGAGUCUUCAUUCAUGAGAAACUUUCAUGGUUUGAAUGAAGUCUGACUUAAGUUUGCUUCAGAACCUACUCCCCAAAAUCCAGAUGCGGGGACUCAAGAGACUUGGCCUCUGUGUCUGGGAGGGAGUAUAGGGGGGGUCACUCGUGUUUUUUUCUUCAAUGUUCAUAUUCACCAUGCUUUAGUAUAAAGAAUCAGCCCAAUUUGGUUCCAAAUUUUGGAACAACUAUCAAUCAAUCAGCGGUGACCAAGUUGCCUAGUGUCCGUUUGUUUGUUAGCUUCAGAUUUCUGAUGCUUUUAACAUACCUCCCUGCAGGGUCCUUGUGAGGACAAAGCUGUGUUUAUUUCAUUUCAGCAUCACAUAGUAAUUGAACACAGGAUAUUUGAAAAGACCCCCUAGGAUUAAAUCCUGGCUCUAUUACUUAUUAGCUGCAUGACCUCGGGCAAAUGACUUAACCUCUCUGGGUUUCAAUACUCAUCUAUAAAAUGAUGUUGAUAAUAAUUAAAAUACUCACUCAUCUAUAAAAUGAUGUUGAUAAUAAUUAAUAGAUCCACCUCACAGCAUUAAUAGCACAAUAUGUAUAAAUUGGAUGAAAUUACAAUUAAAAUGCAUAAUGCAUACAAAUUGCUUUGUGCCUGGAUACAUAGCCAUUUUUUAUUGAGAAAUUAUUACUAUUAUAUUCAACAAAUAUUUAUUGAAAAUCUAAGAUGCAGUAGAUGCUGGUAUUAGGAGUGGGAAUAUGAAAACAAACAAACAUUGUUCCUGUCCUGAAGGAUUAAUAAAUAAUCUGGGGAGGGGGAGAAAGAAAACAUUAAGAGGAGGCAGAGAAUAAUGAUAUAUUAGAGUGCUUACUAUAUGUCAGGCAUUCUCUCUUAGGCACUUAGCCAACCCAUUUGGUAAUAAUUUUCAGAAUGGCCCCAGGAGUGGGUACCACUCUGCUCAGAUGCAUUAAGAUGACCUGCUAAGGAGACACAUACCGGCGUAGAGCCAUCAUGCGCCGAAGUCCUGAUGAUAAACAAACAUUUGCCAUUGUCUUUCUUUCUUUCUCCCUAACCCUUGAUCUGGGUGCUCUUUGGGAUAUAGAGAUGGGGGGCAUUAAUGAUCCAUUGCCCUUUGAUUGCUAUGAGAUAUAAAGCAAAGCAGAAAAUACAUGCAAAACAUUUAGAGAGUCCAGGAUUACCUCCUCAUCCUCACUUGCCUUAUCUGUGAAAUGGGGUUGUGUAGCUACUAUUGCUGGGAAG